UACGUAGGGCGCAAGCGUUGUCCGGAAUUAUUGGGCGUAAAGAGCUCGUAGGCGGUUCGGCAAGUCACGUGUGAAAUCUCCACGCUCAACGUGGAGGCGCCACGUGAGACUGCUGUGACUCGAGUCCGGUAGGGGAGCGUGGAAUUCCCGGUGUAGCGGUGAAAUGCGCAGAGAUCGGGAGGAACACCCGUAGCGAAGGCGGCGCUCUGGGCCGGUACUGACGCUGAGGAGCGAAAGCGUGGGGAGCAAACAGG
rnacentral:rRNA from 1 species